rnacentral:rRNA from 1 species
GACAGAGGUCCCGAGCGUUAGGCGGAAUCACUGGGCUUAAAGCGUGUGUAGGCGGCGGCCUAAGUACCUUGUGAAAUCCCACGGCUCACCCGUGGAACUGCUCGGUAUACUGGGUCGCUUGAGCCACUUAGGGGCUACCGGAACAAAUGGUGGAGCGGUGAAAUGCGUAGAUAUCAGGAGGAAUACCGGUGGCGAAGGCGGCCUUCUGGACGGUGACUGACGCUGAGACGCGAAAGCGUGGGGAGCAAACAGG